rnacentral:rRNA from 1 species
GACGAACGCUGGCGGCGUGCUUAACACAUGCAAGUCGAACGGAAAGGCCUGCUUUCCCUUGUGGAUUGCGGGUGCUCGAGUGGCGAACGGGUGAGUAACACGUGAGUGAUCUGCCCCCAACUUGGGUAUAAGCCUGGGAAACUGGGUCUAAUUCCCGAUAGGACUGCAGGGUGGUGCCUGUGGUGGAAAACGAUUUUCUAGUGGUUGGGGAUGAGCUCGCGGCCUAUCAGCUUGUUGGCGGGGUAAUGGCCUACCAAGGCGGCGACGGGUAGCCGGCCUGAGAGGGUGGACGGCCACAUUGGGACUGGGAUACGGCCCAGACUCCUACGGGAGGCAGCAGUGGGGAAUAUUGCACAAUGGGCGGAAGCCUGAUGCAGCGACGCCGCGUGGGGGAUGACGGCCUUCGGGUUGUAAACUCCUUUCGACCGCGAGGAAGCCACCUGGUUGGAAGGGUGGUGACGGUAGUGGUAGAAGAAGCACCGGCUAACUACGU